rnacentral:misc_RNA from 1 species
UCCGGUUUAUCACCGGCAGUCUCCUUAAAGUACCCAACUUUACUCGAUGGUAACUAAGGACAAGGGUUGCGCUCGUUACGGGACUUAACCCAACAUCUCACGACACGAGCUGACGACAGCCAUGCAGCACCUGUCUCUAGGUUCCCUCGCGGGCACAUCUCCAUCUCUGAAAACUUCCUAGGAUGUCAAGAGUAGGUAAGGUUCUUCGCGUUGCAUCGAAUUAAACCACAUGCUCCACCGCUUGUACGGGCCCCCGUCAAUUCCUUUGAGUUUUAAUCUUGCGACCGUAUUCCCCAGGCGGAGUACUUAGCGCGUUUGCUUCAACACUCGUAACUCUCGUUACCAACGUCUAGUACUCAUCGUUUACAGCGUGGACUAC